AUUGAACGCUGGCGGCAUGCCUUACACAUGCGAGUCGAACGGCAGCACGGGUGCUUGCCCCUGGUGGCGAGUGGCGAACGGGUGAGUAAUACAUCGGAACAUGUCCUGUAGUGGGGGAUAGCCCGGCGAAAGCCGGAUUAAUACCGCAUACGAUCCACGGAUGAAAGCGGGGGACCUUCGGGCCUCGCGCUAUAGGGUUGGCCGAUGGCUGAUUAGCUAGUUGGUGGGGUAAAGGCCUACCAAGGCGACGAUCAGUAGCUGGUCUGAGAGGACGACCAGUCACACUGGGACUGAGACACGGCCCAGACUCCUACGGGAGGCAGCAGUGGGGAAUUUUGGACAAUGGGCGAAAGCCUGAUCCAGCAAUGCCGCGUGUGUGAAGAAGGCCUUCGGGUUGUAAAGCACUUUUGUCCGGAAAGAAAUCCUUGACUCUAAUACAGUCGGGGGAUGACGGUACCGGAAGAAUAAGCACCGGCUAACUACGUG
rnacentral:rRNA from 1 species